GGUGGCUCAGUGGUAGAGCACUUGUCUUGCAUGCAUGAGGCCCUGGGUACAAUUCCUCAGCACCA
rfam:Dipodomys ordii contig_68974, whole genome shotgun sequence.